UACGUAGGCAGCGAGCGUUGUUCGGAGUUACUGGGCGUAAAGGGUGCGUAGGCGGUUGUUUAAGUUUGGUGUGAAAUCUCCCGGCUCAACUGGGAGGGUGCCCCGAAUACUGAAUGACUAGAGUGCGGGAGAGGAGAGUGGAAUUCCUGGUGUAGCGGUGAAAUGCGUAGAUAUCAGGAGGAACACCGGUGGUGUAGACGGCUCUCUGGACCGUAACUGACGCUGAGGCACGAAAGCGUGGGUAGCAAACAGG
rnacentral:rRNA from 1 species